rnacentral:rRNA from 1 species
UACGGAAGGGGCGAGCGUUGUUCGGAAUCAUUGGGCGUAAAGGGCGCGUAGGUGGUACUGUAUGUCUCCCGUGAAAGUCCACGGCUCAACUGUGGGGCGUCGGGAGAAACUGCAGGACUUGAGGCUGGGAGGGGCUGGUGGAAUUCCCUGUGUAGCGGUGAAAUGCGUAGAGAUGGGGGAGAACACUCGUGGCGAAGGCGGCCAGCUAGACCAGUUCUGACACUGAGGCGCGACAGCGUGGGGAGCAAACAGGAUUAGAAACCCGAGUAGUCC